rnacentral:miRNA from 1 species
UUCCUUGCCGGAGCUGGACUAC